CACGUAGUUAGCCGGGGCUUCUUACUCAGGUACCGUCAUCUUCUUCCCUGCUGAUAGAGCUUUACAUACCGAAAUACUUCUUCACUCACGCGGCGUUGCUGCAUCAGGGUUUCCCCCCAUUGUGCAAUAUUCCCCACUGCCGCCUCCCGUAGGAGUUUGGGCCGUGUCUCAGUCCCAAUGUGGCCGGUCACCCUCUCAGGUCGGCUACUGAUCGUCGCCUUGGUGGGCCCGUUACCCCUCCAACUAGCUAAUCAGACGCGGGUCCAUCUCAUACCACCGGUAGUUUUUCACACAAGAACAUGCAUCCUCGUGCGCCUUAUGCGGUAUUAGCUAGUCUAUUUCUAACUCGUUACUCCCCUGUA
rnacentral:rRNA from 1 species